UUGAUUCGGGCAAACCGACCAAAUGUUGACUGCAGUUAUUGACAGCUUAUCGGAUAAUUUUGAGCAGUUUCUCAAGAUUUUUGUAUGUAAUUUGAUAUUCUAAGUGAUAUUUUGUACAAUAAUUGUGCCCCAAAACAUAUAGAAGCAAAUUGUGACGGCAUAAAACGAAGUUUUGUGAUGAACGGUACAGAAAUAGAUGUUCGAUACGCUUGAAGGCUACCAUACCAAUCCCUUGAUCUGUUCAUAACACCGUCUGUAAUGAAACCAAAGAACCAAAUCAGUGUCAAACGAGGGUACCAAUCGAGCAAUGUAAAUAAACAAUGUGAUAAUGUUAGGAGUGGAUGAAAAGUGUUGUAAUUGAGCGUAAUAAGGAAUAUGUGUUUUUCCGAAGUUUUACUUACACAUUUUAAUCCAACAUUAAACCUGUACACUGGUUCACUUAAAUUUAACAAAACAUCACCGGUGUAAUCUAUCAAAACAGUGUACCUUGUGAAGAAUUCCAAAAAUUGAUAUUCGCUUAUGCUGCCCAUAAAUGCAUAACAGUCCCAUGUGAAUUUUCAUCACUUUUGAGAUAAAUCUUAGAAACUUCUUUACAUUACGUGUGCUCUCGAAAAUUUACAACAAAAGUUAGGUUUGUUGCUAAAAUGAUGAAAAAAAUGUUGAUUUUGGUCAGUCCCACGUUACGAAUAAACGCAUAACAGGCUCAGAGCUAAAACCAAUUAGCAGAUAAUCAUGGUAACUUUCAUUAUAAGACCAAAUAAAGUGUACUGAUCGGAACAACAAUAACAUAAUUGCAUAUAAGAGUAUUCAGCACAAAUAUAUUUACCUCGGAUGAAUGCUUAUUUUAAAUUUUUGUUUCUUUGAUUGAAUCCAUAGGAAGGAAAAAAUGCUAUGGUUUACCUGCGUCUACUGCGUUUUACUCAGUUGUACGUUUUUGGCAGUGUGACUCUUAUGCGUUUAUGGGCAGUAUGCAUGGUGAAAAACAGAACUGUAUAGUUCUUGGCAACAAACGGCACAAAAACCUUGUUGCCGAAACGACAGAUUUUCUCUUUGCGCGACUCUAUAUACGCUAUAUACACAUAGACUCUGGUUUUGUAUCCUCUCUUUCAGAUGACAGUAGAGAUCGUCAGAGGGAGAGAUAAGCGAUGAAAAAAACCGCUGAUUUGGCAACCAGGUUUCACAUAUCAGAGGUGCCAGAUCUCUUCUCAAAGCGCAAUGUUCACUAACUUUUUUAUUCGGCUCGUGUAACUGAUGGUGACGGUGGAAGUCCUGAGGAAUAAAAAAGUGCAUCACAAAAACCGUGAAGUUGUUAAAUUUUAUGUUUAUGUUUAAUUUUAUAUACUCUUAUCAUUAUUCUGUAGACCAUACAAAGGGUUUGUGCACCACUAGUUAAAAAUCACUGUGAUGAAGCAACUUUGGAGCAUUCUCAAUUCAUGUUGAGCCAAACGAACAUGUCAAAAUUCGAGCCAAACGAACAAGAAAGGUGACACAUUGAAAGAUAUUGCAAUAAGGUUCAAUAAUGAAUAUAUUUAUUUUUACACGUUAUUCAUGUUUUAUUGCUAAAACAUGAAUUCAGAAUGCUCCAAAGUUGCUUCAUCACAGUGAUUUUUAACUGGUGGUUCACAAACCCUUUGUAUGGUCUACAGAAUAAUGAUGAAAGUAUAUAAAAUUGAACAUAAACAUGAAAUUUAACACCUUCACGGUUUUUGUGAUGCACUUUAUUAUUCCCCAGGACUCUCACCGUCAUCAUCAGUUAUACGAGCCGAAUAAAAAAGUUAGUGAACAGUGAACGCUUUGAGAAGAGAUAUGGCACCUCUGAUAUGUGAAACCUAGUUGCCAAAUCAGCGGUUUUUUUUCAUCGCUUAUCUCUCCCUCUGAGGAUCUCUAAGGAAGACAUAUUCUUUGAAAAAAAUGGGUCAUUUUUUUCACCCGUUAAUGGGUGAAAAAAUACUUCAAGUGUCUUUUUAGUUUGCUCUAUCAAUUUGUUCGCACGCGUUACUUCUACGAUCUGUGUUGUUCACUGUUUGUCAAUGAUUGCCAUGAAAGAAAUAAAAAAGAGACUCGAUGCUGCGUCGUUUGAGAGGUUGCAAGGUAAACAGUAGGUAAUAUCGGUAAUAUCAAGUAUUGAAUUUUACAAUAAAAUUGCGAUUCUGACGAUUGAUGAUAGCAGAUAAAAUACUCCUGUAUUCGUAAAUAAGAGUCAUUUCUAUACAUUUGCAAAAAAAUAUAUAUAAUUGAAUUCC